rnacentral:rRNA from 1 species
GACGAACGCUGGCGGCGUGCUUAACACAUGCAAGUCGAACGGAAAGGCCCUGCUUUUGUGGGGUGCUCGAGUGGCGAACGGGUGAGUAACACGUGAGUAACCUGCCCUUGACUUUGGGAUAACUUCAGGACACUGGGGCUAAUACCGGAUAGGAGCUCCUGCUGCAUGGUGGGGGUUGGAAAGUUUCGGCGGUUGGGGGUGGGCUCGCGGGUUAUCAGGUUGUUGGUGGGGGAGUGGCUUACCAAGGCUUUGACGGGUAGCCGGCCGGAGAGGGUGACCGGGCAAAAUGGGAAUGAGGUAGGGCCCGGAAUGCGACGGGAGGGAGGAGUGGGGGAUAUUGAACAAGGGGAGGAAGCCAGAUGGAGCGAGGCAGGGUGGGGGAUGGCGGAAUGCGGGUUGGAAACUAAUUUCGCUAGGGACAGAGCUUGUAGUGACGGUACCUAGAUAAGAAGCACCGGCUAACUACGUG